UAGGGAAUCUUCCGCAAUGGGCGAAAGCCUGACGGAGCAACGCCGCGUGAGUGAUGAAGGUCUUCGGAUCGUAAAACUCUGUUAUUAGGGAAGAACAAAUGUGUCAGUAACUAUGCACGUCUUGACGGUACCUAAUCAGAAAGCCACGGCUAACUACGUGCCAGCAGCCGCGGUAAUACGUAGGUGGCAAGCGUUAUCCGGAAUUAUUGGGCGUAAAGCGCGCGUAGGCGGUUUUUUAAGUCUGAUGUGAAAGCCCACGGCUCAACCGUGGAGGGUCAUUGGAAACUGGAAAACUUGAGUGCAGAAGAGGAAAGUGGAAUUCCAUGUGUAGCGGUGAAAUGCGCAGAGAUAUGGAGGAACACCAGUGGCGAAGGCGACUUUCUGGUCUGUAACUGACGCUGAUGUGCGAAAGCGUGGGGAUCAAACAGG
rnacentral:rRNA from 1 species